AACGAACGCUGGCGGCAGGCCUAACACAUGCAAGUCGAGCGAGAUCUUCGGAUCUAGCGGCGGACGGGUGAGUAACGCGUGGGAAUAUGCCCUUCGGUUCGGAAUAGCCCCGGGAAACUGGGAGUAAUACCGGAUACGGUCUACGGACGAAAGAUUUAUCGCCGAAGGAUUAGCCCGCGUUGGAUUAGGUAGUUGGUGGGGUAAUGGCCUACCAAGCCGACGAUCCAUAGCUGGUUUGAGAGGAUGAUCAGCCACACUGGGACUGAGACACGGCCCAGACUCCUACGGGAGGCAGCAGUGGGGAAUCUUAGACAAUGGGGGAAACCCUGAUCUAGCCAUGCCGCGUGAGCGAUGAAGGCCUUAGGGUUGUAAAGCUCUUUCAGCUGGGAAGAUAAUGACUGUACCAGCAGAAGAAGCCCCGGCUAACUCCGUG
rnacentral:rRNA from 1 species